rnacentral:rRNA from 1 species
UACAGAGGGUGCGAGCGUUGUCCGGAAUUAUUGGGCGUAAAGAGCUCGUAGGCGGUCUGUCGCGUCUGCUGUGAAAUCUCAGGGCUUAACCCUGAGCUUGCAGUGGGUACGGGCAGACUAGAGUGCGGUAGGGGAGACUGGAAUUCCUGGUGUAGCGGUGAAAUGCGCAGAUAUCAGGAGGAACACCGGUGGCGAAGGCGGGUCUCUGGGCCGUAACUGACGCUGAGGAGCGAAAGCAUGGGGAGCGAACAGG